GGGAAGUUGGCUCAGUGGUAGAGCUCUUGCCUUGCAGGCAUGAGGCCCUGGGUUUGAUUCCUCAGUACCA
rnacentral:tRNA from 1 species